GACGCGUCCUCGAGAAUACAGAGUGUAUUUGUCAUGUGUUGAAGUUGCGAUCACAUGCUCACCUGAGAUUCUAGUAUUGGAGUAAAAAAUGGAUGUCUUCUGCCCAGAUUCUACAUCGUUCAGCUGCUUUGUUUUCACCUUUCCUCCAUCUGUGGUUUCUCCUGUGAGAUUAACAUGCUUGCAGCCGGUGCCAGCGGUCUUCAUUAGUUUUGAUGUAAAGGAUCAAAUGUGGCCCUUAUGAGCUUGUCAGCAGCAGGUGAAGCAGCUGUACUACUGGAAUGCAAAUGAUGAAGCCCGACCAUUUAUAGAGCUCGUUUUGCUCAAAAAUCUGUUGUGUGGUCCGGGUCUAAAUUUAGUUUCUCUCAAUAUGGAGAUUUGGUUUAGGUUAUUAGCAUUUAAUUGUGGUGUAAAGACCCACAUCCCUAAAAGGAGAAAUCAUCUCAUUGCUGUAGUUCCUGCUGUGCAUAUUAUAAAGAGAUUGGGUGUCUACGCACUAAUCGAUUGAAGCGGUUCAAUGACAAAAUUACCAUAGUGAAUAACGCUGAUGACUCUUAAUUAGCACAUAAAAUGAGAGGCGAGGGGAUCUGUUUUGAGCCGUCUUCUACAGCUUGAUAUUAAGUCGGUAACAGAGACAGAAAUCUACAAGCUUCUAAUUGCUCUGAAAAGAGGGAUCAGUCCUGAGAUAACACCUUGUGGAACCGUGUAUUUCGUUUUUCUUUCUCACCUGCCUCUGUGGCAGGCUGCUGAACAUUUUAAGAAGCCCCUUUUUUACCACUAAGAGUUUGAAUGUUUACCAUGAGUCAGUAAUACCCGAGUAAAUAAAUAUGGAUUAUAUUAUGUAACCUUAAUCCCUGAUUAUUCUUAACAGAAGAGCUGCUUUAUGAAAUUAUUUUUUAUUUAUGUUAUAAAAACAUACUUGCCAUUUUCAGGAGGUAACCUGGAUUUUUAAUCUCUCAGGGUUAAUAUUUAUCAUGUUUUUGGCUGAAGACGGAGUAAAAAACAUUCAGUGCUAGACACUUCAACCCACCAUGUUAACACACGUUGAUUCUAAGACUAAUUACAAAGUGCAGCACUGCAGUUGAGUCAUUUACUGCUGUGCAUGGAUGCAGUUUGUAUUAAUGAAACCUCACAAGAGAGACCACACUGCUAAUUGUUGUAUGAACUAAGUGAUAAUUGCAAAAGACAACCGUUCCGGUGUUAAUGAGAAAGCACGGAGAACUGAUCGCAGAUCAUCCUCUGAACCACUGUGAUGCUGUUUUCUCCUUGAGAUGGGCGAUUUGAUAUGCAGGGUGCAAAUCAUCCAUGACAAGCACUCAACCGCUAAUGAAGCCGCAAUAAUUUAAACAGCGGUUUAAAAGCAGCAUUGAAGUCUGCAUUCAGAACACAAAGUCACGACCUUUGACCUUUGUAUACUCAAUUAAAUCAAUAUAAAAUCUGAACUAUGAGAAGAAAUUUAUUGUGUUGGAAGACAUAUAACCUGGCGUGCAUACACAAUCGUGGGCAGCACUAUGAAGCCUCUACACAAGCAAUUUUACCCCCUUGGCAGCUCAAGGCGUUUGUAUUUCCCAGCAGAAUACUCUGCUCUGCAAUCUGCUGUCUCUGGCAGAAGAGAUCCAAAGAUAAAUGUGUUUUCUGGACUUUUAACGCUUGAUUUGCAGGUCUCACAGUUUUUUAAUAACUCUUAGAUUCAGGGCUAACAUGUUUCUGGAAUUGCUGGGAUAAUUUUAUCUUAAUUAUUGAUUCAACUUGCACUUCUCAUAUCAAAAAUAGAAAAUUAAUUAGUGUAACCUUGAGAGAUUUAGAGGACUGUGGAUCUGCUGAACACAUGAAUAAGAUGAGUAUUUAAUUCCAUUCAACUAAAGCGGUUUUAUUGAGAAUUAUGUACACACUCAACACAACAACCAUGAUUUAUCCAAUGAAUACUCUUCUUUUUUAUCCUUUAUUUCCAUGAAAGGAAUUUCCAAAACCAUUAGUGUAUUUAUCCAUAAAACAAACUCAGUUGAGUUAAGAUAGUUGAGUGUACAAUCUGAAAGGAAUAAACUCUUUACUUCUGUAGAGAUCUGAAAUUGCUAUCAAAUCUUAAGGUCAUAUCAAACCAUGGCUAACCCUGAAUUUCAUGCCCGUUCUUAGAGUAUUAUUUAGCCUCAAAUUGAUAAAUUUUACGCUUUUUAAAGUACACUGCUCAAAAAAUAACGUCAAAUCACACAUCACAGAACUGAAAGAAAUAUUUCAGUUGAAAAUCUUUAUUGAUUACAGCGUGUAAUUUGUUGCGGAAAGAAUAACAUAAGAAAGGUCAUUACUGGAGCCAAAGUCAUUACUGGAUUCAGAAUCACUCAAAAUCAAAAGCUCAGAAAAAGUUCAGGAGUGUAUAUGGCCUCCACACAUCUCUGCAUUCCCUACAACAUGUGGGCAUGUUCUUGAUGAGAUGAUAGAUGGUCUCCUGGGGAAUCUCCUCUCAGACUUGAAUCAGGGCAUCAGCCAGCUCUUGGACAGUUCAUGGUGCAACAUUACAUGAUGUCCCAGAGGUGCUAGGUUGGAUUGACAUACACACGAGUGGUCUGCUGGAGGUCACUUUGUAGGGCUCUGGCAGCUCCUCUUGUUCCUCCUUGCACAAAGGUACAGAGAGUAGUCCUGCAGCUGGAUUAUUGCCCUCUUACAGCCCCCUCUACCUCUCCUGGUGUGCUGGCCUGUCUCCUGGUCAGAAAGGAUAAGGAGAGGAAAACAGUCUGUGGCCUCCACCUUUAAAACCACUCCUUAAUAGGGUUUGUCUUCCUAAUUGCCUCUCCUAUCCACCUGCUGUCCAUCCCAUUUGUGCAGCAGUAGGUGAAAUUGAUCCACAAUCAUUAUUGCUUCCUAAGUGGACAGGUUGAUACCCUGGAAGUGUUAUUGACUUACGCUAGGAUGAUUUUGUGUUCCCUUUAUCUUUUGAGCAGUGUAUACACAGUAUGUACAAAUAUGUAAAUUUAAGACUAAAAUGCCAAUCAGUACAACAAAGAGGGAAAUUUGUGCUUCUGUGUAAGUCAGAUUUUUUUUUUGCUGGAUUCAAAUGUCCUUGAGACUAAUUUAGUUAAUUAGUUCAAUGAAAACAUGCCAAAAAUAUUAUGUGUCUUUGGAGCAUGCUGCUCUCACGAAGUUUUCUUUCAAAUCAGGCCUGUAAUCUUUUCAUAAUCCUGCUGGUACAUAUACAUCACUGAAAACAUGACCUCCUUUGGGGAGGUAAUUAUAUAGCUCAUUAAAUAUUCACAUACCGGAUAUUUAUUUAUUUAUUUUUGACAAAAGAGCAGAUGCAGUUUAAAUUUAUGUAAUACAGCAAUUCCAUCAGUGCAAAAUGCUGUAUUACAUCAGGCACAGCAGGUGGCUGUAAAGAGCUUCAGUGUGUUUUCCACUGGCUGCUCUCAGGCCUGUGUGCUCUCUGUGUGUGGUGUACUGAGAUGGUGGGAUUGAGUGAGGCUGCUGCAGCUGGCAGCAGCAUAACAGUCAUCAUGCAGGUAUUACGGAUCCUGGGGGAAAAAAAGAGGUCUUUUCUCUGCCUGGAUCAGUGGGCCCAGAGGGGGAGCAUGCUCAAGCAAAGCAGAAAGCUGAUUGGCUACACAUGCUUAGUGUGUUUGUGUCUGUUUGGACCUUUUUUGUUGGCUGUCCAUUGAGGGGAGAGAUUUUCCUCAGAGCCUAAUCUCUACCGUUGAGCAUCAUGGAGGUGGAGAAUAAGCUUGGAACACCUGGGGACAAAUACUUUACAAAUAAUCUGCCGGUCAUAAUCUAACAAAUGCACCAAAAAGGCUUGACUGUGUGCUUACUCGGCUUACUGAGACUUAAAACAUGGAUGUUGACUAACUUUGUCUGUGGGUUUGCAGAUCCAUAUACAGUGAACUCUAAUAGCAUUAAAUGCAUUUUUUUUCUAGGCCAUUAAUUCAGGGAGGAGUAUCAAACUGAAGCUAGCAAAGGGCAUGCAACAUGUUUCUCUUAUCUACCCUGUGAUGUAGAAUAUAUUUCUCUGUAGGAGACACUGCAACAGAAAGAGGAGGAAUUGUUUUGUGAUCAGUAUGCGAAUUUAGCAGAAUUUCAACCUUGAAUGUAAUUGGGAUCAUUUUGAGUCACCCCUUUGCAAGUGGAGCACUUCUUGUCAAAGCCAAGUAGGUAAUUUCCUAACUUAUUAAAGUUUCAGUUCUUUAAAGCCUCACUCUACCCCCCGAGGAGGUAAAUUGUCACAAGGUGACAUGCAUAUGUUGGCUGUUUGUUUCCCUAGAAGCAAGCCUUUGACAACACAGUAUUUCCUUCCCCCCGUCUAAAAAUCGAAAUGCGCUCCAGCUCUGGCAGGCAUGUAGGGACUCAUAUGAAGCCUUUGCUACAGAAAACAUCAGUAUUCUAAUUUGCAGCUGCUUGUUUUCUUCUUGCACGAUCUCUGGCUGCUGUUUUUCACUCUCCUCUGCACUGACAGGCUGUUGAUGGAAUAAUGGCGGUGUCGGGCAUCGGUAUAGCCAAGCCAAUGGAUACAACAGAGAUUGAUGGGAUUGCAGUGUAAAUUACACACAACAACCUAUAUUCUAGGCUUCAGCCAAUGAAGUCAUUAACUAGCAGCCUGGAAAUAAUGCAAUGAUAUAACCUGCAUAUAGAUGGGAAUAUUAGGUUAUAUAUGACGCUUUGCAAAUUAGCAUAUCCUGUAAUUUAAUGUCAAAUGCAGUUGUAAUGUGCAUCAUAAUGUGUUUGUUCAUCUUCUUACUGUAAUGGAGCCUCAGAUAACACUGAUAUAAUUAUAGAUAGCCAUUGUUUGUUCAGAGAUGAAUUAAUUAUAGUAAGCCGUCACAUUGACUGCUAAAAACGCACAUGCAUCAUUGAUAAAAAGGUAGGGAAAAUGUAUAAUUGGAUGAAUGAUAAAUUAAAUUACAUAACUCCUGUUCUCUGUGACUAAUUAUGCUGUUGCACAACACUUCCAUUGACCAGUGUGUUACAUUGAAAAAUACAAAUGAGAAAGAAAUGUGCAGACCUUGCCAGCUAGUUAUUGUAAGAGCCAUUCCUCACAAUGGGCACCUUUUGGACCCUGUGAUAUUUCCAAGCAUUAAUUUUCCAUCCUUUUAACAUUUUCUUACAGAGUGGACACAUUUAAUUUGCGGGGAAACAUGUUGGCGGCGCUCAGGCUCCUGAAUGAUUAGGUCUCUAAGAAAAACACACUUACCAUAACUCAUAUGGUGCAUUAAUAGUCCACUGCAAAGGAAGAUAUCCUUUAAGAAGAAUAGAGGAUUUGCAUGUGCUUGCUGGCUGGUGAGAGUUAAGUCUGAAUUUGGUGGUGUUCAGUAAGAAAUAGUACAGCUUUUGUUUGAGCCUCUUAUAUAAUCAGUAAUGCACAAAAGAAACUGGGAGAUGGAGACCUACUUUAGAAAUCAUUCAACUUGUUUUGAAAGUCUACUCCAAAAAGUUUAAGAACUUAUCUUUUAUAAAAAAAUACAAUAAAAAUGGGUAGGCCUGUAUAAAACACAGUAACUGAUAACUGUAACAGUGAUAUAAACAGUAGCUGCUGAUAUUAUGUAUCAAGGUCAGCUUAGGCUGUGCAAGGUACAAGAUCAACAGGGGACACCUACAUGGGGUUUGGGAACCAAGAGAAAAGAAUUUUAAUAACUGAAAAACCUCAGUUUGAGGCAAGGGGCAAAUGACCCCUUGAUGGUUUCAAUCUCAUCAUUUAUGAUUGUCUGCUUCAGGCCCUGACCUCCUUAUUCUCUUAGGUUCCUCUGGACUGUUGCUGCAGACAUGAACAUCAGCCUCACCGACAUUAAUAACAUAAAGCUAGAGUUAGCUACUUGUAGGCCUGCUGACUGUAAUCACAUUAAAUUAAUUGAACAUAGUCCAUAAUUACUUAUAUCCUAUUCCAGUAAACUGAAUUCAUAUUAUUUCAUCAUUACUUGCUCUGCAACCAAAAUGACAAGGAGCUGUUGUGCUGUAAACUGCACGAAUCGGCAAAACAAGCUAUCGGCAAACAUUACGACACUGCUCCUGAUAUUAGAAACAUCUAAAACAAUGUCACAACCUGGUAAAUUGAGUGAAAUUCAUGACAUUUUUUUGCAAUUGUUUCAGGGAGAACUUGCAAACAAUACGGCAUCUUCACUGAUAUCUGUUUACUCAGAAGAAGGCUUUUGCCCCCUGGUUGCGCGCACCUACUAUUGUUUGUACACAAGAAACCUGUCUACUUAAAAAAAAAAAAAAAAAAAAAAAGGUUAAUUAUAACUGAUUUCCCUUUUUUUCUUUAAUACUGUUACAUUUCUUAAUGCAGUGUAAAGCAUUUUGAUUUGCCUUUCGUCCCACUGAGCAAUAGACGGCUAUUAGAUGUCUAGUUUUUUUUUAAAGACCUAAUUUCAACUGUCUAGAUUCUGUAUAUUUUUAGACGGUUGCACUUGAACCCAUAAUUUGAUAACUAUUUAUCUCAAAAAGCAACUGUGAGUUGCAUAACUGAUCUCCAAGUACUUUACCAAAAUAAUAACGAUAGUCGUUGAGCAAAAUACAGUGUAGUAAAGAUAUAGCCUAGAUUUAGACUUGGUCCAAACUUGGUCUAAAUUCAGACGUCUAAAAAAACUUUCAUUUUUAGACCUGUGGUAGCCUGAUUUUAGACCAAUCGUCUAGGCUACAUUUAUACGUCUAUUACACCUCUUUUAGGCCAAAAAAUGCUCAAAGGGGUACUUCAUGUCGCUGUGUAAAUAAACUUGCGCCUCCCCUUUAAAUAGCCACAAUUUCCCACAGUAGAAAAAAAAAUGCUACUUCCGGCCACCAUUUUUAUGCGUAACGUCAGGUGAAAGAAGGUAACUUUGGAAGGUUUAUCCCAGCGACUUUAUAUGUCCCAAUAUGCAGAACUGGUGUCUAUAAAAGUCUUUCUAAUUAAACUGGGAUAAAUAAAACCGAUAUUGCUCAUAUCGGUCGUAGUUUCUGCGUGACGCUCCUCGCGCGCUUGUUAGCAUUCCGCACGUCCGCAGCUGCGUCAAAUCAAACCAGCACUUCUUCCGGUCACGAGAAGUUACAUGACGGGAAGCGACCACAAAAAGAAAUAACCACCUGUUGCUUGCAAAAAGCAGAAGGUACAAUAAUAUUAACCACGCUACUUUGAAGACACAAGCUGGAUCUGCCUAACGUGACAAGAGGGAAGAAGUGGUCUUUAAGUUUGAGUAAAGCUGCUGCAGAGUUUAUUCAUCCAUAGAAGGCCUAUGUAAUGGACUGGACAGCAAGAUAAAUGCCACAUUCACCUAAAGAAAGGCUGCACAGGACAUGUUGGACAACUAUAAUCAGACACUGAAGAAGAUGUGCCUCUUCAAGAGAUGAACUCUCAGCUCGUCCAGAUCCCCUUUGGCCAUAGCCGUGAAGAGAAGAAGUAAGUAAUUCUUUUUAAAUUAUAUGUUGCAUCACUCUUUGUGCUGAACAUUAGCCUGGAAGGACUGUGUGUGGCUUCUAUUUGCAGGACCGGCUCGGUCUGUUGAUCAGCAUUGCAGUUUUGGUCAUUGAUUGUUGAGCAGGGGUCACAUCUGGGAUUGUGCUUAAGCUUGUUUGGUUAUUGAUUGUUGUUUUCAAUUAGUGUAAGUCGUUGAUUUUAUGUGUCCCUGCUUCAGG
rnacentral:lncRNA from 1 species